rnacentral:rRNA from 1 species
GAUGAACGCUGGCGGCGUGCCUAAUACAUGCAAGUCGAGCGAACGGACGAGAAGCUUGCUUCUCUGAUGCUAGCGGCGGACGGGUGAGUAACACGUGGAUAACCUACCUAUAAGACUGGGAUAACUUCGGGAAACAGGAGCUAAUACCGGAUGAUAUUUUGAACCGCAUGGUUCAAAAGUGAAAGACGGUCUUGCUGUCACUUAUAGAUGGAUCCGCGCUGCAUUAGCUAGUUGGUAAGGUAACGGCUUACCAAGGCAACGAUGCAUAGCCGACCUGAGAGGGUGGUCGGCCACACUGGAACUGAGACACGGUCCAGACUCCUACGGGAGGCAGCAGUAGGGAAUCUUCCGCGAAGGGCGAAAGCCUGACGGAGCAACGCCGCGUGAGUGAUGAAGGUCUUCGGAUCGUAAAACUCUGUUAUUAGGGAAGAACAUAUGUGUAAGUAACUGUGCACAUCUUGACGGUACCUAAUCAGAAAGCCACGGCUAACUACGUG